rnacentral:rRNA from 1 species
UACGUAGGUGGCAAGCGUUACUCGGAAUUACUAGGCGUAAAGCGCAGGUAGGUGGUUUGAUAAGUCCGUAAUGAAAUCUCCCGGCUUAACUGGGAGGGGUUUAGGGAUACUGUCAGGCUUGAGUGUGGGAGAGGGUAGUGGAAUUCCCAGUGUAGCGGUGAAAUGCGUAGAUAUUGGGAGGAACACCGGUGGCGAAGGCGGGUACCUGGACCGGUACUGACGCUGAGGCGCGAAAGCUAGGGGAGCAAACGGG